GCCCGGGUGGUGGAAUGGUAUACACGCACGACUUAAAAUCGUGUCCUGCAAGGGAUGAGGGUUCGAGUCCCUCCCCGGGCA
rnacentral:tRNA from 1 species